CUGACCGGCGCGUCCGGGUCAAUUGCGGCAUGCAACACCCGAUCUCCCUCGUCGCCCCGCCCGAAACGGCGAUCGACGAGGGGGAGCGCGUGACAGUCAG
rnacentral:ncRNA from 1 species